GAGGCCUACCAUGGUUUUAACGGGUAACGGGGAAUUAGGGUUCGAUUCCGGAGAGGGAGCCUGAGAAACGGCUACCACAUCCAAGGAAGGCAGCAGGCGCGCAAAUUACCCAAUCCCAACACGGGGAGGUAGUGACAAUAAAUAACAAUACAGGGCCUUUACGGGUCUUGUAAUUGGAAUGAGUACAAUUUAAAUCCCUUAACGAGGAACAAUUGGAGGGCAAGUCUGGUGCCAGCAGCCGCGGUAAUUCCAGCUCCAAUAGCGUAUAUUAAAGUUGUUGCAGUUAAAAAGCUCGUAGUUGAAUUUUAGCCUUGGCUGGGUGGUCCUGCCUUUUGGUAGGUACUGCUUUGGCUGGGGCUCACCUUCUGGUAAAGCAUCAUGUUCUUAAUUGGAUGUGGUGGGGAACCAGGACUUUUACUUUGAAAAAAUUAGAGUGUUUAAAGCAGGCAUUUGCUUGAAUACAUUAGCAUGGCAUAAUAGAAUAGGACUUUGGUUCUAUUUUGUUGGUUUCUAGGACUGAAGUAAUGAUUAAUAGGGAUAGUUGGGGGCAUUAGUAUUUAAUUGUCAGAGGUGAAAUUCUUGGAUUUAUGAAAGACUAACUUCUGCGAAAGCAUUUGCCAAGGAUGUUUUCAUUAAUCAAGAACGAAAGUUAGGGGAUCGAAGACGAUCAGAUACCGUCGUAGUCUUAACCAUAAACUAUGCCGACUAGGGAUUGGACGAUGUUAUUUUUUUGACUCGUUCGGCACCUUAUGAGAAAUCAAAGUUUUUAGGUUCCGGGGGGAGUAUGGUCGCAAGGCUGAAACUUAAAGGAAUUGACGGAAGGGCACCACCAGGAGUGGAGCCUGCGGCUUAAUUUGACUCAACACGGGGAAACUCACCAAGUCCAGACAUAGUA
rnacentral:rRNA from 1 species